UUUGGUAGCAGAUAUUUAAAAAAAAAAAAACUGGAAUAAUGCAAAGAUUAACAUGGCCCCUGUACAAGGAUGACACAAAAACUUGUAAAGCGUUCGAUAUUUGU